rnacentral:rRNA from 1 species
UAAGCGACUAAGCGUACACGGUGGAUGCCCUGGCAGUCAGAGGCGAUGAAGGACGUGCUAAUCUGCGAUAAGCGUCGGUAAGGUGAUAUGAACCGUUAUAACCGGCGAUUUCCGAAUGGGGAAACCCAGUGUGUUUCGACACACUAUCAUUAACUGAAUCCAUAGGUUAAUGAGGCGAACCGGGGGAACUGAAACAUCUAAGUACCCCGAGGAAAAGAAAUCAACCGAGAUUCCCCCAGUAGCGGCGAGCGAACGGGGAGCAGCCCAGAGCCUGAAUCAGUGUGUGUGUUAGUGGAAGCGUCUGGAAAGGCGUGCGAUACAGGGUGACAGCCCCGUACACAAAAAUGCACAUGCUGUGAGCUCGAUGAGUAGGGCGGGACACGUGGUAUCCUGUCUGAAUAUGGGGGGACCAUCCUCCAAGGCUAAAUACUCCUGACUGACCGAUAGUGAACCAGUACCGUGAGGGAAAGGCGAAAAGAACCCCGGCGAGGGGAGUGAAAAAGAACCUGAAACCGUGUACGUACAAGCAGUGGGAGCACGCUUAGGCGUGUGACUGCGUACCUUUUGUAUAAUGGGUCAGCGACUUAUAUUCUGUAGCAAGGUUAACCGAAUAGGGGAGCCGAAGGGAAACCGAGUCUUAACUGGGCGUUAAGUUGCAGGGUAUAGACCCGAAACCCGGUGAUCUAGCCAUGGGCAGGUUGAAGGUUGGGUAACACUAACUGGAGGACCGAACCGACUAAUGUUGAAAAAUUAGCGGAUGACUUGUGGCUGGGGGUGAAAGGCCAAUCAAACCGGGAGAUAGCUGGUUCUCCCCGAAAGCUAUUUAGGUAGCGCCUCGUGAAUUCAUCUCCGGGGGUAGAGCACUGUUUCGGCAAGGGGGUCAUCCCGACUUACCAACCCGAUGCAAACUGCGAAUACCGGAGAAUGUUAUCACGGGAGACACACGGCGGGUGCUAACGUCCGUCGUGAAGAGGGAAACAACCCAGACCGCCAGCUAAGGUCCCAAAGUCAUGGUUAAGUGGGAAACGAUGUGGGAAGGCCCAGACAGCCAGGAUGUUGGCUUAGAAGCAGCCAUCAUUUAAAGAAAGCGUAAUAGCUCACUGGUCGAGUCGGCCUGCGCGGAAGAUGUAACGGGGCUAAACCAUGCACCGAAGCUGCGGCAGCGACGCUUAUGCGUUGUUGGGUAGGGGAGCGUUCUGUAAGCCUGUGAAGGUGUACUGUGAGGUAUGCUGGAGGUAUCAGAAGUGCGAAUGCUGACAUAAGUAACGAUAAAGCGGGUGAAAAGCCCGCUCGCCGGAAGACCAAGGGUUCCUGUCCAACGUUAAUCGGGGCAGGGUGAGUCGACCCCUAAGGCGAGGCCGAAAGGCGUAGUCGAUGGGAAACAGGUUAAUAUUCCUGUACUUGGUGUUACUGCGAAGGGGGGACGGAGAAGGCUAUGUUGGCCGGGCGACGGUUGUCCCGGUUUAAGCGUGUAGGCUGGUUUUCCAGGCAAAUCCGGAAAAUCAAGGCUGAGGCGUGAUGACGAGGCACUACGGUGCUGAAGCAACAAAUGCCCUGCUUCCAGGAAAAGCCUCUAAGCAUCAGGUAACAUCAAAUCGUACCCCAAACCGACACAGGUGGUCAGGUAGAGAAUACCAAGGCGCUUGAGAGAACUCGGGUGAAGGAACUAGGCAAAAUGGUGCCGUAACUUCGGGAGAAGGCACGCUGAUAUGUAGGUGAAGUCCCUCGCGGAUGGAGCUGAAAUCAGUCGAAGAUACCAGCUGGCUGCAACUGUUUAUUAAAAACACAGCACUGUGCAAACACGAAAGUGGACGUAUACGGUGUGACGCCUGCCCGGUGCCGGAAGGUUAAUUGAUGGGGUUAGCCGCAAGGCGAAGCUCUUGAUCGAAGCCCCGGUAAACGGCGGCCGUAACUAUAACGGUCCUAAGGUAGCGAAAUUCCUUGUCGGGUAAGUUCCGACCUGCACGAAUGGCGUAAUGAUGGCCAGGCUGUCUCCACCCGAGACUCAGUGAAAUUGAACUCGCUGUGAAGAUGCAGUGUACCCGCGGCAAGACGGAAAGACCCCGUGAACCUUUACUAUAGCUUGACACUGAACAUUGAGCCUUGAUGUGUAGGAUAGGUGGGAGGCUUUGAAGUGUGGACGCCAGUCUGCAUGGAGCCGACCUUGAAAUACCACCCUUUAAUGUUUGAUGUUCUAACGUUGACCCGUAAUCCGGGUUGCGGACAGUGUCUGGUGGGUAGUUUGACUGGGGCGGUCUCCUCCUAAAGAGUAACGGAGGAGCACGAAGGUUGGCUAAUCCUGGUCGGACAUCAGGAGGUUAGUGCAAUGGCAUAAGCCAGCUUGACUGCGAGCGUGACGGCGCGAGCAGGUGCGAAAGCAGGUCAUAGUGAUCCGGUGGUUCUGAAUGGAAGGGCCAUCGCUCAACGGAUAAAAGGUACUCCGGGGAUAACAGGCUGAUACCGCCCAAGAGUUCAUAUCGACGGCGGUGUUUGGCACCUCGAUGUCGGCUCAUCACAUCCUGGGGCUGAAGUAGGUCCCAAGGGUAUGGCUGUUCGCCAUUUAAAGUGGUACGCGAGCUGGGUUUAGAACGUCGUGAGACAGUUCGGUCCCUAUCUGCCGUGGGCGCUGGAGAACUGAGGGGGGCUGCUCCUAGUACGAGAGGACCGGAGUGGACGCAUCACUGGUGUUCGGGUUGUCAUGCCAAUGGCACUGCCCGGUAGCUAAAUGCGGAAGAGAUAAGUGCUGAAAGCAUCUAAGCACGAAACUUGCCCCGAGAUGAGUUCUCCCUGACUCCUUGAGAGUCCUGAAGGAACGUUGAAGACGACGACGUUGAUAGGCCGGGUGUGUAAGCGCAGCGAUGCGUUGAGCUAACCGGUACUAAUGAACCGUGAGGCUUAACCU